CCUACGGGUGGCAGCAGUGAGGAAUAUUGGUCAAUGGGCGCGAGCCUGAACCAGCCAAGUAGCGUGAAGGAUGACUGCCCUACGGGUUGUAACUUUUUUUAUAUAAGAAUAAAGUGAGGCACGUGGGCCUUUUUGUAUGUACUUUAUGAAGAAGGAACUGCUAAAUCCGGGGCAACAGCCGCGGUAAUAAGGAGGAACCGAGCGUUAUCCGGAUUUAUUGGGGUUAAAGGGAGCGUAGAUGGGUUGUUAAGUUAGUUGUGAAAGUUUGCGGCUCAACCGUAAAAUUGCAAUUGAUACUGGCAGUCUUGAGUACAGUUGAGGUAGGCGGAAUUCGUGGUGUAGCGGUGAAAUGCUUAGAUAUCACGAAGAACUCCGAUUGCGAAGGCAGCUUACUAAACUGCCACUGACAUUGAUGCUCGAAAGUGUGGGUAUCAAACAGGAUUAGAUACCCGUGUAGUC
rnacentral:rRNA from 1 species